GAUGAACGCNAGNGACAGGCCUAACACAUGCAAGUCGAGGGGCAGCAUUGUAGCUUGCUACAGAUGGCGACCGGCGCACGGGUGCGUAACGCGUAUGCAACCUACCCUUUACAGGGGGAUAGCCCGGAGAAAUCCGGAUUAAUACCCCAUAAUAUUAUGAAUCUGCAUGGAUUUAUGAUUAAAGUUUCGGCGGUAAAGGAUGGGCAUGCGUAUGAUUAGUUAGUUGGUGAGGUAACGGCUCACCAAGGCAACGAUCAUUAGGGGUUCUGAGAGGAAGGUCCCCCACACUGGUACUGAGACACGGACCAGACUCCUACGGGAGGCAGCAGUGAGGAAUAUUGGUCAAUGGGCGCAAGCCUGAACCAGCCAUGUCGCGUGCAGGAAGACUGCCCUAUGGGUUGUAAACUGCUUUUAUACGGGAAUAACCACAGAUACGUGUAUCUGUCUGUAUGUACCGUACGAAUAAGCACCGGCUAACUCCGUGCCAGCAGCCGCGGUAAUACGGAGGGUGCAAGCGUUACUCGGAAUCACUGGGCGUAAAGAGCGUGU
rnacentral:rRNA from 1 species